CAUAUCCUACGGGGGGCAGCAGUGGGGAAUAUUGGUCAAUGGGCGCGAGCCUGAACCAGCCAAGUAGCGUGAAGGAGGGCUGCCCUACGGGUUGUAAACUUCUUUUAUAGAGGAAUAAAGUGAGGCACGUGAGCCUUUUUGUAUGUACUUUAUGAAUAAGGAUCGGCUAACUCCGUGCCAGCAGCCGCGGUAAUACGGAGGAUCCGAGCGUUAUCCGGAUUUAUUGGGUUUAACGGGAGCGUAGAUGGGUUGUUAAGUCAGUUGUGAGAGU
rnacentral:rRNA from 1 species